rnacentral:tRNA from 1 species
AGGUCCUUAGCUCAGUUGGUAGAGCAACAGCCUCUUAAGCUGAUGGUCGCGGGUUCAAGUCCCGCAGGGCCUACCA